UGGGAUGUAGCCAAGUGGCAAGGCAGUGGAUUUUGGUUCCACCAUUCGUAGGUUCGAAUCCUGCCAUCCCAG
rnacentral:tRNA from 1 species